GACGAACGCUGGCGGCGUGCCUAAUACAUGCAAGUCGAACGAGAGCGACCGGUGCUUGCACUGGUCAAUCUAGUGGCGAACGGGUGAGUAACACGUGGGUAACCUGCCCAUCAGAGGGGGAUAACAUUCGGAAACGGAUGCUAAAGCCGCAUAGGUCUUCGAACCGCAUGGUUUGAAGAGGAAAAGAGGCGCAAGCUUCUGCUGAUGGAUGGACCCGCGGUGCAUUAGCUAGUUGGUGAGGUAACGGCUCACCAAGGCCGUGAUGCAUAGCCGACCUGAGAGGGUGAUCGGCCACAUUGGGACUGAGACACGGCCCAAACUCCUACGGGAGGCAGCAGUAGGGAAUCUUCCGCAAUGGACGCAAGUCUGACGGAGCAACGCCGCGUGAGUGAAGAAGGUUUUCGGAUCGUAAAACUCUGUUGUUAGAGAAGAACAAGUGCUAGAGUAACUGUUAGCGCCUUGACGGUAUCUAACCAGAAAGCCACGGCUAACUACGUGCCAGCAGCCGCGGUAAUACGUAGGUGGCAAGCGUUGUCCGGAUUUAUUGGGCGUAAAGCGAGCGCAGGCGGUUCCUUAAGUCUGAUGUGAAAGCCCCCGGCUCAACCGGGGAGGGUCAUUGGAAACUGGGGAACUUGAGUGCAGAAGAGGAGAGUGGAAUUCCAUGUGUAGCGGUGAAAUGCGUAGAUAUAUGGAGGAACACCAGUGGCGAAGGCGACUCUCUGGUCUGUAACUGACGCUGAGGCUCGAAAGCGUGGGUAGCAAACAGGAUUAGAUACCCUGGUAGUCCACGCCGUAAACGAUGAGUGCUAAGUGUUGGAGGGUUUCCGCCCUUCAGUGCUGCAGUAACGCAUUAAGCACUCCGCCUGGGAGUACGA
rnacentral:rRNA from 1 species